rnacentral:rRNA from 1 species
GAAACCCAGCAUGAGUUAUGUCAUGUUAUCGAUAUGUGAAUACAUAGCAUAUCAGAAGGCACACCCGGAGAACUGAAACAUCUUAGUACCCGGAGGAAGAGAAAGAAAAUUCGAUUCCCUUAGUAGCGGCGAGCGAAACGGGAAGAGCCCAAACCAACAAGCUUGCUUGUUGGGGUUGUAGGACACUCUAUACGGAGUUACAAAGGACGACAUUAGACGAAUCAUCUGGAAAGAUGAAUCAAAGAAGGUAAUAAUCCUGUAGUCGAAAAUGUUGUCUCUCUUGAGUGGAUCCUGAGUACGACGGAGCACGUGAAAUUCCGUCGGAAUCUGGGAGGACCAUCUCCUAAGGCUAAAUACUCUCUAGUGACCGAUAGUGAACCAGUACCGUGAGGGAAAGGUGAAAAGCACCCCGGAAGGGGAGUGAAAUAGAACCUGAAACCGUGUGCUUACAAGUAGUCAGAGCCCGUUAAUGGGUGAUGGCGUGCCUUUUGUAGAAUGAACCGGCGAGUUACGAUUUGAUGCAAGGUUAAGCAGUAAAUGUGGAGCCGUAGCGAAAGCGAGUCUGAAUAGGGCGUUUAGUAUUUGGUCGUAGACCCGAAACCAGGUGAUCUACCCUUGGUCAGGUUGAAGUUCAGGUAACACUGAAUGGAGGACCGAACCGACUUACGUUGAAAAGUGAGCGGAUGAACUGAGGGUAGCGGAGAAAUUCCAAUCGAACCUGGAGAUAGCUGGUUCUCUCCGAAAUAGCUUUAGGGCUAGCCUCAAGUGAUGAUUAUUGGAGGUAGAGCACUGUUUGGACGAGGGGCCCCUCUCGGGUUACCGAAUUCAGACAAACUCCGAAUGCCAAUUAAUUUAACUUGGGAGUCAGAACAUGGGUGAUAAGGUCCGUGUUCGAAAGGGAAACAGCCCAGACCACCAGCUAAGGUCCCAAAAUAUAUGUUAAGUGGAAAAGGAUGUGGCGUUGCCCAGACAACUAGGAUGUUGGCUUAGAAGCAGCCAUCAUUUAAAGAGUGCGUAAUAGCUCACUAGUCGAGUGACACUGCGCCGAAAAUGUACCGGGGCUAAACAUAUUACCGAAGCUGUGGAUUGUCCUUUGGACAAUGGUAGGAGAGCGUUCUAAGGGCGUUGAAGCAUGAUCGUAAGGACAUGUGGAGCGCUUAGAAGUGAGAAUGCCGGUGUGAGUAGCGAAAGACGGGUGAGAAUCCCGUCCACCGAUUGACUAAGGUUUCCAGAGGAAGGCUCGUCCGCUCUGGGUUAGUCGGGUCCUAAGCUGAGGCCGACAGGCGUAGGCGAUGGAUAACAGGUUGAUAUUCCUGUACCACCUAUAAUCGUUUUAAUCGAUGGGGGGACGCAGUAG